rfam:Danio rerio chromosome 19, GRCz11 reference primary assembly.
AAAUAAAUGAAAUGUAAGUCGCUUUGGAUAAAAGUGUGUGCUAAAUGACUAAAU